rnacentral:rRNA from 1 species
UACGUAGGAGACGAGCGUUGUCCGGAAUUACUGGGCGUAAAGCGCGUGUAGGCGGAUGGGCAAGUCUGCUGUGAAAGCUCCUGGCUUAACCGGGAGUGGUCGGUGGAAACUGCCAAUCUGGAGGACGGUAGAGGUAGGUAGAAUUCCCGGUGUAGUGGUGAAAUGCGUAGAGAUCGGGAGGAAUACCUGUGGCGAAGGCGGUUGCCUGGGGCUUUGCUGACGCUGAUGCGCGAAAGCGUGGGGAGCGAUCCGG